GGGAGGUGGCGGCGUGCUAUACAUGCAGUCGAGCGAAUGGAUUAAGAGCUUGCUCUUAUGAAGUUAGCGGCGGACGGGUGAGUAACACGUGGGUAACCUGCCCAUAAGACUGGGAUAACUCCGGGAAACCGGGGCUAAUACCGGAUAACAUUUUGAACCGCAUGGUUCGAAAUUGAAAGGCGGCUUCGGCUGUCACUUAUGGAUGGACCCGCGUCGCAUUAGCUAGUUGGUGAGGUAACGGCUCACCAAGGCAACGAUGCGUAGCCGACCUGAGAGGGUGAUCGGCCACACUGGGACUGAGACACGGCCCAGACUCCUACGGGAGGCAGCAGUAGGGAAUCUUCCGCAAUGGACGAAAGUCUGACGGAGCAACGCCGCGUGAGUGAUGAAGGCUUUCGGGUCGUAAAACUCUGUUGUUAGGGAAGAACAAGUGCUAGUUGAAUAAGCUGGCACCUUGACGGUACCUAACCAGAAAGCCACGGCUAACUACGUGCCAGCAGCCGCGGUAAUACGUAGGUGGCAAGCGUUAUCCGGAAUUAUUGGGCGUAAAGCGCGCGCAGGUGGUUUCUUAAGUCUGAUGUGAAAGCCCACGGCUCAACCGUGGAGGGUCAUUGGAAACUGGGGAGACUUGAGUGCAGAAGAAGGAAAGUGGGAAUUCCAUGUGUAGGU
rnacentral:rRNA from 2 species